rnacentral:lncRNA from 1 species
UUUAAUAAGUAAACAAAACGAUGGGGUUCCAAAAUUAUUUAAAAAAUAUAUAAAAUAUAAAAUAAGCACAUAAACAAAUAUAGAAUAAUUAGUCCAUAAAAUUCCCUAUACUACUCUUAUUGAAAAUGCCCUUAGAACUUUUGUAUUUUAUUUUUUAUUGUUACAUAUUACACCUAAUUAGACCCAUGCACCGCAUGGGUCAAAGUUCUAGUUA